rnacentral:rRNA from 1 species
UACGUAGGGGGCAAGCGUUGUCCGGAUUUAUUGGGCGUAAAGAGCGUGUAGGCGGCCAUACAGGUCCGUUGUGAAAACUCGAGGCUUAACCUCGAGACGUCGAUGGAAACCGUAUGGCUAGAGUCCGGAAGAGGAGAGUGGAAUUCCUGGUGUAGCGGUGAAAUGCGCAGAUAUCAGGAAGAACACCCGUGGCGAAGGCGGUUCUCUGGGACGGUACUGACGCUGAGACGCGAAAGCGUGGGGAGCGAACAGG